UCUGUAUAUGUGCUGACCCAGAGAGAGAACCAGUUGUGUACAAUGAAGACUCGGAGAAACCGAAGUGAGGUUGAAAGAGAGCUUGGGAUGUUGUUCUCCAAAGGAGGAAAAUGGAAAAAUCGUGCAAAGCAGCCAGAAGCUGACACGAGAUUUCAGAUGCUUGUUGAGGAUAUCACAGAGGGAGUACUUGUAUUUGAGGAUGAAAAUGAGGCUGCAAAAUACUGUGACUUGCUUCAAGGAGGUGGUCAAGGUUGUGAAGGUGUUGCCGAAAUAGAAGCUUCAUCAGUAUUUGAUCUAUGCCGGAAGAUGAGGGCACUGGCAGUUCUAUUUCGCCGGGG
rnacentral:misc_RNA from 1 species